CCUAACACAUGCAAGUCGAACGGUAGAGUAGCAAUACUUCGAGAGUGGCGAACGGGUGAGUAAUAUAUCGGAACGUGCCCAGUCGUGGGGGAUAACGUAGAGAAAUUUACGCUAAUACCGCAUACGAUCUAAGGAUGAAAGCGGGGGACCGUAAGGCCUCGCGCGAUUGGAGCGGCUGAUAUCAGAUUAGGUCGUUGGUGAGGUAAAAGCUCACCAAGCCGACGAUCUGUAGCUGGUUUGAGAGAACGACCAGCCACACUGGGACUGAGACACGGCCCAGACUCCUACGGGAGGCAGCAGUGGGGAAUUUUGGACAAUGGGCGAAAGCCUGGUCCAGCAAUGCCGCGUGCAGGAAGAAGGCCUUCGGGUUGUAAACUGCU
rnacentral:rRNA from 1 species